rnacentral:rRNA from 1 species
AUGGGAUUUUGAGACCUUUAUUCCUUCAACCUUGCAAUGCUCUUGAAGCAAUGUUGGAGAUUGAUCACUAAUCUGGACUCAUUAUGUACACGGGUGUUGAAAGCAAAAUAUUUUCCAAAUGGAAGUUUAAUUCAAGCUACUUUGAAAAAUGGUGCGUCAUUCACAUGUCAGAGCAUAAUGAAGGGCUGGUGA